GACGAACGCUGGCGGCGUGCCUAAUACAUGCAAGUAGAACGCUGAAGCGAGGAGCUUACUCUUCUUGGAUGAGUUGCGAACGGGUGAGUAACGCGUAGGUAACCCGCCUUGUAGCGGGGGAUAACUAUUGGAAACGAUAGCUAAUACCGCAUAACAAUGGAUGACACAUGUCAUUUAUUUGAAAGGGGCAAUUGCUCCACUACAAGAUGGACCUGCGUUGUAUUAGCUAGUAGGUGAGGUAAUGGCUCACCUAGGCGACGAUACAUAGCCGACCUGAGAGGGUGAUCGGCCACACUGGGACUGAGACACGGCCCAGACUCCUACGGGAGGCAGCAGUAGGGAAUCUUCGGCAAUGGGGGCAACCCUGACCGAGCAACGCCGCGUGAGUGAAGAAGGUUUUCGGAUCGUAAAGCUCUGUUGUAAGUCAAGAACGGGUGUGAGAGUGGAAAGUUCACACUGUGACGGUAGCUUACCAGAAAGGGACGGCUAACUACGUG
rnacentral:rRNA from 1 species